rnacentral:rRNA from 1 species
AGUGAACGCUGGCGGUAGGCCUAACACAUGCAAGUCGAACGGCAGCACAGUAAGAGCUUGCUCUUACGGGUGGCGAGUGGCGGACGGGUGAGGAAUACAUCGGAAUCUACUUUUUCGUGGGGGAUAACGUAGGGAAACUUACGCUAAUACCGCAUACGACCUACGGGUGAAAGCAGGGGAUCUUCGGACCUUGCGCGAUUGAAUGAGCCGAUGUCGGAUUAGCUAGUUGGCGGGGUAAAGGCCCACCAAGGCGACGAUCCGUAGCUGGUCUGAGAGGAUGAUCAGCCACACUGGAACUGAGACACGGUCCAGACUCCUACGGGAGGCAGCAGGGGGGAAUAUUGGACAAGGGGCGCAAGCCUGAUCCAGCCAUACCGCGUGGGUGAAGAAGGCCUGCGGGUUGUAAAGCCCUUUUGUUGGGAAAGAAAAGCAGCAGGUUAAUACCCCGCUGUUCGGACGGUACCCAAAGAAUAAGCACCGGCUAACUUCGG